ACAGAAAACAGAAAAACAGGCGGCUCGGAAACCCGUGCGUCGUGUGGGGCUGCGGCAGAGCCUCUUUAAAGAAGGCGCAAGAGGUUGUCAGCUUCAAGUGAAGCACAUCGGCGCGGCGACAGCAGCCUGGAGUCAUGAGCGACAAGCGGCGAACAGAACUACGGCGAGCGGGAAUCGCAUUCUGCUUCCAGAAGUGGAAGUGCUCACGGAUGGGGGAAAUCUGCAAGGCAUACCCCUGCAAGGCCUCGCUCCAAGGAAGAUUCCAGGCGUUCCAGAUCAAAGUCCAGGUCCAUAUCUGAAUCUAGGUCUAGGUCCAGAAGAAACUCUCGAAGGCAUUGUACCAGGUCACGGUCUCGUUUCCGCUCUCAUAGACGAUCCGGAGCAGGUUUUACAGUCAAGAUUAUCACAGACGGCACAGCCACAGUCAUUCUCCUAUGUCUGCUCUCAGGCGUCAUGUUGGGAAUCGGGCGAAUCCUGAUCCCAACUGUUGUCUUGGAGUAUUUGGGUUGAGCUUGUACACCACAGAAAGAGAUCUAAGAGAAGUGUUCUCUAAAUAUGGUCCCAUUGCGUAUGUGUCUAUUGUAUAUGACCAGCAGUCUAAGCAUUCAAGAGGAUCUGCCUUUGUAUAUUUUGAAAAUGUGGAUGAUGCCAAGGAAGCUAAAGAAUGUGCCAAUGGAAUGGAGCUUGAUGGUCGUAGGAUCAGAGUUGAUGUCUCUAUAAUAAAAAGACCACAUACCCCAACACCAGGAAUUUACAUGGGAAGACCUACCUAUGGCAGUUCAUGCCAUCGGGAUUAUUAUGACAGAGCAUAGGAUGGAGGCUAUGAUGAUCGGGACAACUGUAGCAGAUCAUACAGAGGAGGAGGAGGUGGAGGAGGAGGAUGGAGAGCUGCUCAAGACAGGGAUCAGAUUUAUAGAAGGCGGUCGGUCACCUUCUCCUUACUACAGUCGUGGAGGAUACAGAUAACAUUCCAGAUCUUGAUCAUAUUCACCUCGUUGCUAUUAAAGCAUGAAGUUGAAGACUUUCUGAAACCUGCCCUAGAGCUGCGAUAUUGUUUGUGGACAAUAUUUUUUAUUGUCUCGUUUAAAAAGUGAA